CGUAUACGUAACCACAGCUGUCAUAAUAUAUACGUAACUUCGUAUUUUCACAUUGUGGAGAAUUUUUUCUGUUUCAUUAAUAAUGAAUCAUUAUUUUCUGUUCCCAUAGAAUGGUAUGGCGCUCAUUAGCGAGA